rnacentral:rRNA from 1 species
CCUAACACAUGCAAGUCGAACGGUAACAGGAAGAAGCUUGCUUCUUUGCUGACGAGUGGCGGACGGGUGAGUAAUGUCUGGGAAACUGCCUGAUGGAGGGGGAUAACUACUGGAAACGGUAGCUAAUACCGCAUAACGUCGCAAGACCAAAGAGGGGGACCUUCGGGCCUCUUGCCAUCGGAUGUGCCCAGAUGGGAUUAGCUUGUUGGUGGGGUAACGGCUCACCAAGGCGACGAUCCCUAGCUGGUCUGAGAGGAUGACCAGCCACACUGGAACUGAGACACGGUCCAGACUCCUACGGGAGGCAGCAGUGGGGAAUAUUGCACAAUGGGCGCAAGCCUGAUGCAGCCAUGCCGCGUGUAUGAAGAAGGCCUUCGGGUUGUAA